AUGCCCCAACGACUUCUCAGGUGGCAGCGAUAUGGGUUGAAGGGGGUGAUCCACAAAACUAUUUUGACAGGAGUGUUGUCGUGCAUGCCAAAAAAGGAGACCGACCACUCUAUAUUUAGAGCAUACUAUGGUUGCUAUGACCCAUUGUCAUAUCCACUGUUUUUACCACGUGGGGAGACUGGUUGGAAUCGUUGGAUGCCGUAUGUUCAGGCCCCCGAUGCCGUAUGUUCAGGGUAA
rnacentral:rRNA from 1 species